AGUGUGUUGUGUUGUUGUUGUGUGAGCCGAGUGUGUGAGCCGAGUGUGUGAGCUGUGGCAGUAACAAUGCCUUCAGUUCAGUAUCUGAGAGAGUUUAUCAACGAGCGACUAACUGCUGCUGCUGAACAAAUAUUCUUGGAGUUUGAAAAAACGAUCGUCCAGUACGAGGAAGAGAUCGACCGUCAGCGCAGACUGCUGGAUAUCACCUGGAAACCC